rnacentral:misc_RNA from 1 species
GCCUACUGUUUAAUUUUGAGGGUUCGUUUUUACGAAUACUCAAAAGUAGCACUUUAAGCAACAGAAUAAACUGAACGCAUGUGAAGUUUGUUUGUUGGCGCUGUGUGUUAGCACUUUAAGCAACGUGAUUUAUCCGUUGGCGCUGUGCAUUAGCACUUUAAGCAACGGAAUUUAUUCGUUGGCGCUGUGCUUUAGCACUUUGAAAACUGCAUAUAUAUUUAGUGAUAUGACAUCUAAUUUGUAAUAUAUAAAGCUGAUAACUUUUUAAAAUUAUCGAAGUUGAUAGCUUCUAAUCUAUCAAACCUUUUUAACUGGUCAA